CCUAACCCCGUUAAUUCGAGGGAGGGCCUCAACCGUCAAAACACCGUGGACCAGGAGAAUGCCACCUUACCGGCCACUGAUCCACUAAAUACCCACAAUUCUGUUACUUUGUCCCGGGCACAGGGCCGGAAAGAACCGGGUACACCUAAUGAAAAUAUUGUUAUAUCCCGUAAUUUUGCACAUUCGGAUAAAUUGAAAUAAGUGUGACUAAUAAGAGACAAGGCAACAUUUUGGUCUUACUUAAUAUUUAUGUUGUUAUGAAAAAUAUUGAUGCGGAAAUAUGGAGGAAGGCCAAGGGAAAAAUUGGGAAUUUGGAAAUUGGGUUCAUGAAUUACAAAUAUUCACCAUAAGUAAUUGGGCUAGCAAAAAUCAAAAAAAAAAAAAAAAGAAAAGAAAGAGGCCCAAGGUGUGUGUGUGGCCGGCCAUAUAAGGGAAAAAGGGGCCCAAGCCCAUGUGCUAAAUUUAAUUGAUCAAAUAAAUAUAUAAAGAGGGCCACCAUUUGUCUUCAUCUAGAAUCUUCAAGAGAAACAAGACUUGAGAGCACAAAGAGAAGGGCCAUUCGGCCAACACAAGGAAAAAAAAAAAGAAAAAAAUUUUAGCUCAUCAAUCCUUGAUCCAAAAACUACAAUUUUCUAGUAUUCCUACUAAGCUCAAGACCCUCUUCAACGUGGUAUAAUUGUUUAGGCAAGAAAGUACUUUUGUUGGCAAGUGGAAAUUCUUGAAAAAGAUAUUGGAGAGCCCGAGACUUGAUUCGGGAUUUGACUAGCGAGCGAUCGAGGUACAGACACUUAUUGUGGUGAUCCGCCAGUCUAGGGUGCCGUUCUGCUACUUGGAGUGCUCCUUUGAUCCGGAGCCCACACUUUUGGUACAGAUCUUUCCGUUGUACAUAUUUAUGUGUAUGUGACUAGUCAGGGGUACGGCGGGGCCCUGUCCCGUCAUAUGUUUAUGUUAUGGUUUGUAGAGGCCUGUAGACAUGUAUAUGGGUCGUGGGUCGUAUUAGAUCUGUGAUGUAUGUAUGGUUUGCGUCCGGUUUUCUUAUAUACUACAAUAACCUGAUUUAUUUAGGUGUUAUAAUGUAAUCGACGACCUAAGUGAUAUGUAUAUGGUUUUGUAUGCACGAAACCCUUAAUAUGUAAACGCAAGUAAAAUCUGG